rnacentral:rRNA from 1 species
GGAAUCUACCUAGUAGUAUGGAAUAGCUGUUAGAAAUGACAGGUAAUACCGUAUAAUCCCUGCGGGGGAAAGAUUUAUCGCUAUUAGAUGAGCCUAUGUUAGAUUAGCUAGUUGGUAAGGUAAUGGCUUACCAAGGCUAUGAUCUAUAGCUGGUCUGAGAGGACGAUCAGCCACACUGGAACUGAGAUACGGUCCAGACUCCUACGGGAGGCAGCAGUGGGGAAUAUUGGACAAUGGGCGCAAGCCUGAUCCAGCUAUGCCGCAUGAGUGAAGAAGGCCUUAGGGUUGUAAAGCUCUUUCAGCAGGGAAGAUAAUGACGGUACCUGCAGAAGAAGUCCCGGCAAACUCCGUGCCAGCAGCCGCGGUAAUACGGAGGGGGCAAGCGUUGUUCGGAAUUAUUGGGCGUAAAGGGCAUGUAGGCGGUUUAAUAAGUUAAAAGUGAAAUACCAGGGCUUAACCUUGGAGCUGCUUUUAAUACUGUUAAACUAGAGAUCGAGAGAGGAUAGUGGAAUUCCUAGUGUAGAGGUGAAAUUUCGUUAGA